AUACGUAGGGUGCAAGCGUUAAUCGGAAUUACUGGGCGUAAAGCGUGCGCAGGCGGUUUUGUAAGACCGUGGUGAAAUCCCCGGGCUCACACUGGGGACCGCCAUUGUGACUGCAAGGGCUGAGUGUGGCCGAGGGGGGUGGAAUUCCGCGUGUAGCGGGGGAAUGCGUAGAUAUGCGGAGGAACACCGAUGGCGAAGGCAAUCCACUGGGCCUGCACUGACGCUCAUGCACGAAAGCGUGGGGAGCAAACAGGAUUAGAUACCCUGGUAGUCCACGCCCUAAACGAUGUCAACUGGUUGUUGGGGAUUUAUUUUCUCAGUAACGAAGCUAACGCGUGAAGUUGACCGCCUGGGGAGUACGGCCGCAAGGUUAAAACUCAAAGGAAUUGGCGGGG
rnacentral:rRNA from 1 species